UCUUAUGGAUAUGAGCAAAGAAAAUGAUUUCUUGAGAUGGAACCUAUUCCUGGUGAAGAUGCUGUGAA
rnacentral:pre_miRNA from 2 species